CUUAAUAUUUCACUCUCUUAAUCAUCUAGCUGACUAUUUUAUAAUUUCAUAUCUGUUAUCUACUUUGUCUAUUUUUUAUUUAUUCUUUAUAUCUUCAUCUUUGUCUUUUAUUCUCAUCUGCUAAUUAUAUCACUUUUAGAUUGACUUAAUUACUGAGUUCAAACUCAUCUGUAAUCUCUUCUUAAUCUCUCUUCUUAAUCUCUGAUUGAUUCUCAGCAGUGUCUGUUAUAAAAUUCUUCUCAUUCUCUUUCUAUUUCUUACAAUAUUAUUAGAGUUGCUAACCUCAAUUCUUUGAGUUAUUCUUCAGUUGCAACCAUCUAAAAUAGCACUC
rnacentral:sRNA from 2 species